GGAGAGUUUGAUCCUGGCUCAGGAUGAACGCUAGCGGCAGGCCUAACACAUGCAAGUCGAGGGGCAGCGCGGUGAGUAGCAAUACUUACUGGCGGCGACCGGCGCACGGGUGCGUAACACGUAUAUAACCUGCCUGUGACUGGGGCAUAACCCGGAGAAAUUCGGACUAAUUCCCCAUAAGUUAGGAGGAGGCAUCUCUUCCGGAUGAAAGAUUUAUCGGUCACAGAUGGAUAUGCGUAGCAUUAGGUAGUUGGUGAGGUAACGGCUCACCAAGCCAACGAUGCUUAGGGGUUCUGAGAGGAAGGUCCCCCACACUGGUACUGAGACACGGACCAGACUCCUACGGGAGGCAGCAGUGAGGAAUAUUGGUCAAUGGACGGAAGUCUGAACCAGCCAUGCCGCGUAGGAAGACGGCUCUAUGAGUUGUAAACUGCUUUUGUACAAGGGUAAUAGCGACUACGUGUAGUUGUUUGAAAGUAUUGUAUGAAUAAGGAUCGGCUAACUCCGUGCCAGCAGCCGCGGUAAUACGGAGGAUCCAAGCGUUAUCCGGAUUUAUUGGGUUUAAAGGGUGCGUAGGCUUAAGUUAGAGGUGAAAACUCACGGCUCAACCGUGGGCGUGCCUCUAAGACUGUCUGGCUGGAGAAGAGAUGCAGCAGGCGGAAUGAGUAGUGUAGCGGUGAAAUGCUUAGAUAUUACUCAGAACCCCGAUUGCGAAGGCAGCUUGCUAAUCUUAUUCUGACGCUGAUGCACGAAAGCGUGGGUAGCAAACAGGAUUAGAUACCCUGGUAGUCCACGCAGUAAACGAUGAUCACUCGUUGUCGGCGAUACACAGUCGGUGACCCAGCGAAAGCGAUAAGUGAUCCACCUGGGGAGUACGACCGCAAGGUUGAAACUCAAAGGAAUUGACGGGGGCCCGCACAAGCGGAGGAACAUGUGGUUUAAUUCGAUGCGAUGCAACGCGAGGAACCUUACCCGGGCUUGAAAGUUACUGACGAUCUUUGAAAGAGGAUUUCCCUUCGGGGCAGGAAACUAGGUGCUGCAUGGUUGUCGUCAGCUCGUGCCGUGAGGUGUCGGGUUAAGUCCCAUAACGAGCGCAACCCCUG
rnacentral:rRNA from 1 species